UACGGAGGGGGCUAGCGUUGUUCGGAAUUACUGGGCGUAAAGCGCGUGUAGGCGGCUUUGCAAGUCGGGUGUGAAAGCCCUCAGCUCAACUGAGGAAGUGCGCCCGAAACUGCAGAGCUUGAGUGCCGGAGAGGGAAGUGGAAUUCCCGGUGUAGUGGUGAAAUGCGUAGAUAUCGGGAGGAACACCAGUGGCGAAGGCGACUUCCUGGCCUGUUCUUGACGCUGAGGCGCGAAAGCUAGGGGAGCAAACGGG
rnacentral:rRNA from 1 species